UACGGGGGGGACGAGCGUUGUUCGGAUUUACUGGGCGUAAAGGGCGCGUAGGCGGGCCUUCAAGUCAGAUGUGAAAACUCCGGGCUUAACCCGGAGCCUGCAUUUGAUACUGUUGGUCUUGAGUACAGGAGAGGAGAGUGGAAUUCCAGGUGUAGCGGUGAAAUGCGUAGAUAUCUGGAAGAACACCAGUAGCGAAGGCGGCUCUCUGGACUGAUACUGACGCUCAAGCGCGAAGGCUUGGGGAGCAAACAGG
rnacentral:rRNA from 1 species